UAUCCAUUAGGCCAAGCGGUCACUUGCUUGGCAAUGAAUGAUUAUUUGGAAUAAAAUGUUAUAGAUUAUCACUAUGGUGUGCAAAAUGAAAUUGUACGUCGACCACGAAGGGACUCGAACCCCCAAUCUUCUGAUCCCUAGUCAGUACCUUAUCCAUUACGCCACGCGGUCACGUGCUAAUCAAUCAGUGAAUGUUUGGGAUGUAAUGUUGUAGAUUAUCACUAUGGUGUGCAAAACGAAAUUGUAUGUCGACCACGAAGGGACUCGAACCCUCAAUCUUCUGAUCCGAAGUCAGACGCCUUAUCCAUUAGGACACGCGGUCACUUGCUUGGCAAUGAAUGAUUAUUUGGAAUAAAAUGUUAUAGAUUAUCACUAUGGUGUGCAAAAUGAAAUUGUACGUCGACCACGAAGGGACUCAAACCCCCAAUCUUCUGAUCCCAAGUCAGUACCUUAUCCAUUACGCCACGCGGUCACGUGAUAAUCAAUCAGUGAAUGUUUGGGAUUUAAUGUUGUAGAUUAUCACUAUGGUGUGCAAAACGAAAUUGUAUGUCGACCACGAAGGGACUCGAACCCUCGAUCUUCUGAUCCGAAGUCAGACGCCUUAUCCAUUAGGCCACGUGUUCACUUGUUAGGCUUUAAAUUAAUGUUUGGAGUGAAAUUUUUUAGAUGAUCUCCAUGCUGUACAAAAUAAAAAUCGACGUCGACCAUCGAUUCACAACAUGGUGUCUAAAAUUAAGUUGUACGUUGCCCAUGAAGGGACUAGAACCCUCAAUAUUCUGAUCCGAAAUGAUACGCCUUAUACAUUAGGCAACGCGGUGAUUUGCUUAGUUAAGAAUGUCUAUUUGGAAUGAAAUAUUAUAGAUUCUCACCGAAGUGGUCAAAAUGAAAUUCUACGUCGACCACGAAGGGACUCGAACCCUCAAUCUUCUGAUUCGGAAUCAGACGCCUUAUCCAUUAGGCCACGCGGUCACGUGCUAAUCAAUCACUGAAUGUUUGGGAUUUAAUGUUGUAGAUUAUCACUAUGGUGUGCAAAACGAAAUUGUAUUUCGACCACGAAGGGACUCGAACUCUCAAUCUUCUGAUCCGAAGUCAGACGCCUUAUCCAUUAGGCCACGCGGUCACUUGCUUGGCAAUGAAUGAUUAUUUGGAAUAAAAUGUUAUAGAUUAUCACUAUGGUGUGCAAAAUGAAAUUGUACGUCGACCACGAAGGGACUCGAACCCCCAAUCUUCUGAUCCCAAGUCAGUACCUUAUCCAUUACGCCACGCGGUCACGUGCUAAUCAAUCAGUGAAUGUUUGGGAUUUAAUGUUGUAGAUUAUCACUAUGGUGUGCAAAACGAAAUUGUAUGUCGACCACGAAGGGACUCGAACCCUCAAUCUCCUGAUCCGAAGUCAGACGCCUUAUCCAUUAGGCCACGCGGUCACGUGCUAAUCAAUCACUGAAUGUUUGGGAUUUGAUGUUGUAGAUUAUCACUAUGGUGUGCAAAACGAAAUUGUAUGUCGACCACGAAGGGACUCGAACCCUCAAUCUUCUGAUCCGAAGUCAGACGCCUUAUCCAUUAGGCCACGUGGUCAGUUGUUAGGCUUUAAAUUAUUGUUUGGAGUGAAAUUUUUUAGAUGAUCUCCAUGCUGUACAAAAUAAAAAUCGACGUCGACCAUCGAUUCACAACAUGGUGUCUAAAAUUAAGUUGUACGUUGCCCAUGAAGGGACUAGAACCCUCAAUAUUCUGAUCCGAAGUGAUACGCCUUAUACAUUAGGCAACGCGGUCAUUUGCUUAGUUAGGAAUGUCUAUUUGGAAUGAAAUGUUAUAGAUUGUCACCGAAGUGACGCCUUAUCCAUUAGGCCACGCGGUCACGUGGUAGGCAAUCGAUAAAUGUUUGGGAUUCAAUGUUGUAGGUUAUCUCCAUUGUGUGCUAAAUAAAAUUGUAAGUCGACCACGAA